AAGACUGUAGCAUAAUAGGUAAUGCAAUCCGCUCAUAAUGGAUAAAAUUCAGGUUCGAGUCCUUGCGGUCUUA
rnacentral:tRNA from 1 species